rnacentral:rRNA from 1 species
CCUACGGGUGGCAGCAGUGGGGAAUAUUGGGCAAUGGGCGCAAGCCUGACCCAGCAACGCCGCGUGAAGGAAGAAGGCUUUCGGGUUGUAAACUUCUUUUCGCAGGGACGAAACAAGUGCCGGUACCUGAGGAAUAAGCCACGGCUAACUACGUGCCAGCAGCCGCUGUAAUCCGUCGGUGGCAAGCGUUAUCCGGAUUUACUGGGUGUAAGGGGCGAGUAGGGGGGAAAGCAAGUCAGAUGUGAAAACCAUGGGCUCCACCUGUGGCGUGCAUUUGAAACUGUUUUUCUUGAGUACUGGAGAGGCAGACGGAAUUCCUAGUGUAGCGGUGAAAUGCGUAGAUAUGAGGAGGAACACCAGUGGCGAAGGCGGUAUGCUGGACAGCAACUGACGCUGAGGCGCGAAAGCGUGGGGAGCAAACAGGAUUAGAUACCCCAGUAGUC